UCCGCCUGGGGAGUACGGUCGCAAGACUGAAACUCAAAGGAAUUGACGGGGGCCCGCACAAGCGGUGGAGCAUGUGGUUUAAUUCGAAGCAACGCGAAGAACCUUACCAGGUCUUGACAUCCCGCUGACCGGCCUAGAGAUAGGCUUUUCCCUUCGGGGACAGCGGUGACAGGUGGUGCAUGGUUGUCGUCAGCUCGUGUCGUGAGAUGUUGGGUUAAGUCCCGCAACGAGCGCAACCCUUGAUCUUAGUUGCCAGCAUUCAGUUGGGCACUCUAAGGUGACUGCCGGUGAUAAACCGGAGGAAGGUGGGGAUGACGUCAAAUCAUCAUGCCCCUUAUGACCUGGGCUACACACGUGCUACAAUGGACGGUACAGAGGGUCGCAACCCCGCGAGGGUGAGCUAAUCCCAUAAAACCGUUCUCAGUUCGGAUUGUAGGCUGCAACUCGCCUACAUGAAGCCGGAAUCGCUAGUAAUCGUGGAUCAGCAUGCCACGGUGAAUACGUUCCCGGGCCUUGUACACACCGCCCGUCACACCACGAGAGUUUGUAACACCCGAAGUCGGUGGGGUAACCCUUUUGGGAGCCAGCCGCCGAAGGUGGGACAGAUGAUUGGGGUGAAGUCGUAACAAGGUAACC
rnacentral:rRNA from 1 species